UCUUCUGUGAUUAUUAUGAAGACACUUCUGUGGUAUCUUUGUGUUGUCUCCUCAGUUCAAAGUGUUACUUCUCAAAUCUCUGUUGUGCAGACUGGCCAUGGCUUUCUAAAGCCAACAGAAGAACUGUCAUUGACCUGCAAAGUGACAGGUGCCUCACUGACUGACAGCUCCAAAAUAUGGUCAGUUCAAUGGGCCAAGCAAGCAACGGGUAAAGGAUUGGAGUGGCUGGGAGGCAUAUGGUAUGAUGCUGCUGCACGCUAUGCUCAGUCUAUGCAAGGACGUCUGACAGUUUCAAGAGACACAAGUAAAGGAGAAGUUUUUUUAAAACUCACUAGGAUGAAAACAGAAGAAUCUUCCACAUAUUAUUGUGCAGCUGGCACAGUGUGA